AACGGAGAGGGCGAGUGUUACUCAUAGUGAUUGGGCGUAAAGGGUACGUAGACGGCAUUUUAAACUCUAAUUCAAAUCCCACGGCGCAACUGUGGUAGCUUUAGAGCACUGUAAUGCUAGAGUUUGGCAGAGGUUAGCGGUACUCUUAAGGUAAAGGUGACAAUUUUCGAACUUAAGAGGACCCCCGAAGGCGAAGGCAGCUAACCAGGUUAAACUGACGUUGAGGUACGGAGGCAUGGGGAUCGAACAGG
rnacentral:rRNA from 1 species